UGCAGUUGUCCUUUAAAACUAACUGAAGACAUGUUGUACAACUACCUUACUUCCUUGCAGAUGAGCCAAGGAGGUGGACAGAUAAGAACAGCAGACAAGUGGAGCACUUAGAACAGCAGCCAGGGACAACUGGUAGGGAAGAGGAUGAUUUACGUAACACAGACACAGGCCAAAAAUAAGUUAAGCUACCCAGUAUCCACUUGAACGUUUUGGAUUGCAAAACUAAAGAAGCACACCAGACAAGACAGAAACAGCAACAUAAGAAUAAAUGAUGGAGAGCGGCACCAGACAAGACAGAGAAAUAGCAACAGAAUAAUAUGAUAUGAUUGAGAGAGACAUCAGAAGAACAGAACAGGCUAUAACUGAAGAGGAUUGACAGUAACAAACAAGAACCCGAGACAGCCACAGACAAGACAGAAAAAGUGACAGAAGAGAUGGAGAGAGAACAGAGGGACAUAUUGGAGUGCCAACAGAAGAAGAUCUUCAAAGACAGGUCCUUCAGCGCCUCCUGGAGAACCAAUUGUUCGUGAAAGCCGAGAAGUGUGAGUUCCACCACUCUACUAUCACCUUUCUGGGAUAUGUCAUUGCUGAGAUUACAGCACCCUGGUGGGCUCCCUCUCGGUACUCACUUCUCCCAAGGUACCGAUCAAAUGGUCUGCUGUCGACAAAGCCUUUGUGGACCUGAAGCAUUGGUUCACAACAGCACUCAUCCUCAUCCAUCCGGACCACUCAUGCCAGCAUAUACUGUGAAGUGCCUCCUGAGGGUUUGACCAUGGGGCAGGGGUUUCCAGAACCUGGCUGACUGGGAGGGUUACGGCCCAGAGGUGAGGUGCUGGGUUCCUGCUAAAGACAUCUUGGACCCGGCCCUUAUUGCCGAUUUCCACCGCCGACACCCCGUUCGGCCAGGUAUGCGCCCAGUUAGGACACCAGGCGUCCCUGGGGGGGUACUGUCACACCCUGAUCUGUUUCACCUGUCUCUACCCCUUCCAGGUGCAUGUAUUUAUCCAUGUGUUUCCUGUCUCUCUGUGCCAGUUCGUCUGGUUGUUUAGUCAAAUCAACCAGCGUGUUUUCCCCCGUAUUCCUUUUCUAUUCUCUUUUGCCAGUCUUCUCGGUUUUGUCCACUGCCUGACUCUGGACUACUUUUCCACCUGAUCAUCCUGCCUGCCUUGAAUCUGCCUGCCCUUCAGUACCUAUUGGACUCUGAACUGGUUUUGACCUUUUUGCCUGUACACGACCAUUCUCUUGCCUACCCCUUUUGGAUUAAUAAAC